CUAUUUUCAAUGCGUCAUUUCAAUGAGAAAUUAUUUUAAUUUGCAGUAUUCAAGUUAUUACAGAAAUUUUUUUCCUUUAUUUAAUUUCCUGACUAUUUGCGAAACGAGAGACGAAAGGGAACCUUGAAACACCAAAGAAGUUGCAGAAUAUAUAAUAUUACUUGGUCUUUUCAAUUGAGAAUGGGACAUCGAUGAAAAUAAUAAAGGGAGAUAAGGCGUGAAUAUGAAAAUCAAAUUCUUCAUGACUCCUUAUAAGAAUUGAUUAUUUCUUCAAACCAUGUUCGUUAGAAUACUGCGGCAGUUUAUGAUAAAGGGGAAUUCCAUACAUAAUAUGAUUGUUUCAAUUUCAAUUCAAAUAUACGAGCAGAACUUCAGAUGUUAAUUAUCAAUAGAAAUCACUGGCAACUUUUAAUUUACAAUACAGCUUGAAAAGUGCAAUUGUAUUUUACACUCGAUCAAUGUGUGUGUAUAUAUAGAGGAGUUGGAAAUAAUAUGUAAUUGUUUAUUGAAGGUAGCGAAUGUCUUGCAUAGUACAUGCGCAUGUUUAACAAGCGAUAUCGUAUUAAGUUGACGAGUAAGGGUAAUAAAUAAAUUAGAAAGAUAUAAUAAGCGUUGUAUCAAAUAUAAUAUGAAACAUGAAACAGCUGGAUGUCGAAAUAAAUUGA